AGAACGAACGCUGGCGGCAUGCCUAAUACAUGCAAGUCGAACGAACUCUUCGGAGUUAGUGGCGCACGGGUGCGUAACGCGUGGGAAUCUGCCCCUUGGUUCGGAAUAACAGUUGGAAACGACUGCUAAUACCGGAUGAUGACGAAAGUCCAAAGAUUUAUCGACCAAGGGAUGAGCCCGCGUAGGAUUAGCUAGUUGGUGAGGUAAAGGCUCACCAAGGCAACGAUCCUUAGCUGGUCUGAGAGGAUGAUCAGCCACACGUGGGACUGAGACGACCGGCCAGACUCCGACGGGAGGCAGCAGUAGGGAAUAUUGGACAAGUGGGACGAAAGCC
rnacentral:rRNA from 1 species